CCGACGGGUGAGUAACACGUAUGCAAUCCACCUGUAACAGGGGGAGUAACCCGGAGAAAUCCGACUAAUACCCAUAAUAUGGGCGCUCCGCAUGGAGAGUCCAUUAAAGAGAGCAAUCUUGGUUACAGACGAGCAUGCGCUCCAUUAGCUAGUUGGCGGGGUAACGGCCCACCAAGGCGACGAUGGAUAGGGGUUCUGAGAGGAAGGUCCCCCACAUUGGAACUGAGACACGGUCCAA
rnacentral:rRNA from 1 species